rnacentral:rRNA from 1 species
CUUGGUCAUUUAGAGGAAGUAAAAGUCGUAACAAGGUUUCCGUAGGUGAACCUGCGGAAGGAUCAUUAGUGAUUGCCAUCUUGGCUUAAACUAUAUCCAUCUACACCUGUGAACCGUUUGAUUGAAUCUUCUGAUUCAAUUUUACAAACAUUGUGUAAUGAACGUCAUUAGAUCAUAACAAAAAAAAACUUUUAACAACGGAUCUCUUGGCUCUCGCAUCGAUGAAGAACGCAGCGAAAUGCGAUAAGUAAUGUGAAUUGCAGAAUUCAGUGAAUCAUCGAAUCUUUGAACGCAACUUGCGCUCUCUGGUAUUCCGGAGAGCAUGCCUGUUUGAGUGUCAUGAAAUCUCAACCAUUAGGGUUUCUUAAUGGCUUGGAUUUGGAGGUUGCCAUUCUAAAUGGCUCCUCUUAAAGGAGUUAGCAAGUUUUACUAUUGCUAUCUGGCGUAAUAAGUUUCGCUGGAAUGGUAUUGUGAAGCGUGCUUCUAAUCGUCUUCGGACAAUUACUUUGACUCUGGCCUCAAAUCAGGUAGGACUACCCGCUUGACUUAAGCAUAUCAAUAAGCGGAGGA